rnacentral:rRNA from 1 species
CAGUCGCCGCGGGAAUACAGAGGGUGCGAGCGUUAAUCGGAUUUACUGGGCGUAAAGCGUGCGUAGGCGGCUUUUUAAGUCGGAUGUGAAAUCCCUGAGCUUAACUUAGGAAUUGCAUUCGAUACUGGGAAGCUAGAGUAUGGGAGAGGAUGGUAGAAUUCCAGGUGUAGCGGUGAAAUGCGUAGAGAUCUGGAGGAAUACCGACGGCGAAGGCAGCCAUCUGGCCUAAUACUGACGCUGAGGUACGAAAGCAUGGGGAGCAAACAGGAUUAGAUACCCCAGUAGUCCCUGUCUCUUAUAC